UGCGCCCGGCCUGCCUCAUAGUAUUAUAAUGAAAAUUACACAAAGUAAUAUAUGGAAAGUGGCCGAUAUAGUCAGAACCUGUCUGAAAAUGGGCACUUAAUAAAUAAAUGUUAACUCUCCUUUUCUCUCUGCUCCCCCUUCACUCCCCUCCCUUCCCUUCCCCUCCUCUCCUCUCUCCUCUCCUUUACCUAUUCUCUCUUUGGAGAGAAACCAGUCAGAAGACAAGCGGCCAGGGGUGCCCAUACACAUCAGCAGAGGAGGCUGGAGGAACAGUUCAGGCCAGGGCCUCCAAAAGCUGGCUGCAAUUUCUGCGGCAGGAAAUCCGCUUGAACAUUAAUUUAAAAGUGAAGGAAGAAGAAGCCUCCAUGACAGAGGAGCAAUCCAAGCCUCUCCAGCAUGGCAGAUUUGGCCCAGGAUAAAGAAGAAUGGUGUCAUGAUCAGGACACAGUCAGGAAGGGCUGGGGGAGCUCCGGAACAAAUGCAGCAAAAUGCCGACAUCUGUUUUAUCUCAACAGUGGACUGUGCUUCUUUGGAGGUGAACUUGUGCUGAUACUUGAUGGGUCACGCAGACUUACAGUGAGAAACAGCUUCAGGAAAGUCAGAAGAGAAAUCCGAGCAAUAAUUAAAAACACACGGUAUUAGUCUGUUCCCAACGCUGCUAAUAAAGACAUACCUGAGACUGGGUAAUUUAUAAAGAAAAGAGGUUUA
rnacentral:lncRNA from 1 species